GGGCCCGCACAAGCGGUGGAGCAUGUGGUUUAAUUCGAUGAUACGCGAGGAACCUUACCAGGGCUUAAAUGGGAGAUGACAGGGGCAGAGACGCCCUUUUCUUCGGACAUCUUUCAAGGUGCUGCAUGGUUGUCGUCAGCUCGUGCCGUGAGGUGUCAGGUUAAGUCCUAUAACGAGCGCAACCCCUACCGUUAGUUGCCAGCGAUUCAAGUCGGGGACUCUAACGGGACUGCCGGUGCAAACCGUGAGGAAGGUGGGGACGACGUCAAAUCAUCACGGCCCUUACGUCCUGGGCUACACACGUGCUACAAUGGUCGGUACAGAGGGAAGCUACCCCGUAAGGGGAUGCGGAUCUAUAAAACCGAUCUCAGUUCGGAUCGGAGUCUGCAACUCGACUCCGUGAAGUCGGAAUCGCUAGUAAUCG
rnacentral:rRNA from 1 species